UCAGUAACGGCGAGUGAAGCGGCAACAGCUCAAAUUUGAAAUCUGGCCUCUUUGGGGUCCGAGUUGUAAUUUGUAGAGGAUGUUUCGGGUACCGCCUCGGUUUAAAUUUCUUGGAACAGAAUGUCAGAGAGGGUGAGAAUCCCGUCUUGGACCGGCGGUAGGGCCCAUGUGAAACUCCUUCGACGAGUCGAGUUGUUUGGGAAUGCAGCUCAAAAUGGGUGGUAAAUUUCAUCUAAAGCUAAAUAUUGGCCAGAGACCGAUAGCGCACAAGUAGAGUGAUCGAAAGAUGAAAAGCACUUUGAAAAGAGAGUUAAACAGUAUGUGAAAUUGUUGAAAGGGAAGCGCUUACAACCAGACUUGCGCGCGGCGGUUCCCCCUUCCUUUUGGUUGGGCUACUCCGUCGUGUCCAGGCCAACAUCGGUUCUGGGGGUCGGUUAAAGACCUUGGGAAUGUAUCUACCCUUCGGGCGUAGACUUAUAGCCCAGGGUGUCAUGCGACCUCCCGGGACCGAGG
rnacentral:rRNA from 1 species